rnacentral:rRNA from 1 species
UACGUAGGGACCAAGCGUUGUUCGGAUUUACUGGGCGUAAAGGGCGCGUAGGCGGCGUGGUAAGUCAAUUGUGAAAUCUCCGAGCUUAACUCGGAACGGUCAAUUGAUACUGCUGUGCUAGAGUACAGAAGGGGCAAUCGGAAUUCUUGGUGUAGCGGUGAAAUGCGUAGAUAUCAAGAGGAACACCGAUGGCGAAGGCAGGUCUCUGGGCAUUAACUGACGCUGAGGAGCGAAAGCAUGGGGAGCGAACAGG